rnacentral:tRNA from 1 species
GCCUUCGUGGUGUAAAUGGUCAGCACACUGAGCCGGUAUCUCAGAGGUCCGUGGUUCGAUCCCCGGCGAAGGCA